UCCGAGUUGUAAUUUGUAGAGGAUGCUUUUGGCGCGGUGCCUUCCGAGUGCCCUGGAACGGGACGCCACAGAGGGUGAGAGCCCCGUAUGGUCGGACACCAAGCCUGUGUAAAGCUCCUUCGACGAGUCGGGUAGCUUGGGAAUGCUGCUCUAAGUGGGAGGUAAACUUCUUCUAAAGCUAAAUACUGGCCAGAGACCGAUAGCGCACAAGUAGAGUGAUCGAAAGAUGAAAAGCACUUUGAAAAGAGGGUCAAAUAGUACGUGAAAUUGUUGAAAGGGAAGCGCUCAUGACCAGACUUGCGCCGGGCUGAUCAUCCAGUGGUUUCCACUGGUGCACUCUGCCCGGCCCAGGCCAGCGUCGGCUGUCACGGGGGGACAAAAGCACUGGGAAAGUAGCUCUCUCCGGGGAGUGUUAUAGCCCUAUGCAGAAUACCCCCGCGGCGGCCGAGGUCCGCGCUCUGCAAGGACGCUGGCGUAAUGGUCAUCAGCGACCCGUCUUGAAACACGGACCAAGGAGUCGAGGUUUUGCGCGAGUGUUCGGGUGCAAAGCCCCAGCGCGUAAUUAAAGUGAACGUAGGUGAGAGCUUCGGCGCAUCAUCGACCGAUCCUGAUGUAUUCGGAUGGAUUUGAGUAGGAGCGUAAAGCCUCGGACCCGAAAGAUGGUGAACUAUGCCUGUAUAGGGUGAAGCCAGAGGAAACUCUGGUGGAGGCUCGCAGCGGUUCUGACGUGCAAAUCGAUCGUCAAAUAUGGGCAUGGGGGCGAAAGACUAAUCGAACCAUCUAGUAGCUGGUUACCGCCGAAGUUUCCCUCAGGAUAGCAGUGUUGUUCUUCAGUUUUAUGAGGUAAAGCGAAUGAUUAGGGACUCGGGGGCGCUAUUUAGCCUCCAUCCAUUCUCAAACUUUAAAUAUGUAAGAAGCCCUUGUUACUUAGUUGAACGUGGGCCUUCGAAUGUACCAACACUAGUGGGCCAUUUUUGGUAAGCAGAACUGGCGAUGCGGGAUGAACCGAACGCGAGGUUAAGGUGCCGGAGUGGACGCUCAUCAGACACCACAAAAGGUGUUAAUACAUCUUGACAGCAGGACGGUGGCCAUGGAAGUCGGAAUCCGCUAAGGACUGUGUAACAACUCACCUGCCGAAUGUAUUAGCCCUGAAAAUGGAUGGCGCUCAAGCGUCCCACCCAUACCUCGCCCUCAGGGUAGAAGCGAUGCCCUGAGGAGUAGGCGGCCGUGGGGGUCAGUGACGAAGCCUAGGGCGUGAGCCCGGGUCGAACGGCCUCUAGUGCAGAUCUUGGUGG
rnacentral:rRNA from 1 species